UUAAGCGACUAAGCGUACACGGUGGAUGCCCUGGCAGUCAGAGGCGAUGAAGGACGUGCUAAUCUGCGAAAAGCGUCGGUAAGGUGAUAUGAACCGUUAUAACCGGCGAUGUCCGAAUGGGGAAACCCAGUGUGAUUCGUCACACUAUCGUUAACUGAAUACAUAGGUUAACGAGGCGAACCGGGGGAACUGAAACAUCUAAGUACCCCGAGGAAAAGAAAUCAACCGAGAUUCCCCCAGUAGCGGCGAGCGAACGGGGAGCAGCCCAGAGUCUGAAUCAGCUUGUGUGUUAGUGGAACGGUCUGGAAAGUCCGACGGUACAGGGUGAUAGUCCCGUACACCAAAAUGCACAGGCUGUGAACUCGAAGAGUAGGGCGGGACACGUGGUAUCCUGUCUGAAUAUGGGGGGACCAUCCUCCAAGGCUAAAUACUCCUGACUGACCGAUAGUGAACCAGUACCGUGAGGGAAAGGCGAAAAGAACCCCGGCGAGGGGAGUGAAAAAGAACCUGAAACCGUGUACGUACAAGCAGUGGGAGCACCUUCGGGUGUGACUGCGUACCUUUUGUAUAAUGGGUCAGCGACUUAUAUUCUGUAGCAAGGUUAACCGUAUAGGGGAGCCGCAGGGAAACCGAGUCUUAACUGGGCGUUAAGUUGCAGGGUAUAGACCCGAAACCCGGUGAUCUAGCCAUGGGCAGGUUGAAGGUUGGGUAACACUAACUGGAGGACCGAACCGACUAAUGUUGAAAAAUUAGCGGAUGACUUGUGGCUGGGGGUGAAAGGCCAAUCAAACCGGGAGAUAGCUGGUUCUCCCCGAAAGCUAUUUAGGUAGCGCCUCGUGAACUCAUCUUCGGGGGUAGAGCACUGUUUCGGCUAGGGGGUCAUCCCGACUUACCAACCCGAUGCAAACUACGAAUACCGAAGAAUGUUAUCACGGGAGACACACGGCGGGUGCUAACGUCCGUCGUGAAGAGGGAAACAACCCAGACCGCCAGCUAAGGUCCCAAAGUCAUGGUUAAGUGGGAAACGAUGUGGGAAGGCACAGACAGCCAGGAUGUUGGCUUAGAAGCAGCCAUCAUUUAAAGAAAGCGUAAUAGCUCACUGGUCGAGUCGGCCUGCGCGGAAGAUGUAACGGGGCUAAACCAUGCACCGAAGCUGCGGCAGCGACACUAUGUGUUGUUGGGUAGGGGAGCGUUCUGUAAGCCUGCGAAGGUGACCUGUGAGGGUUGCUGGAGGUAUCAGAAGUGCGAAUGCUGACAUAAGUAACGAUAAAGCGGGUGAAAAGCCCGCUCGCCGGAAGACCAAGGGUUCCUGUCCAACGUUAAUCGGGGCAGGGUGAGUCGACCCCUAAGGCGAGGCCGAAAGGCGUAGUCGAUGGGAAACAGGUUAAUAUUCCUGUACUUGGUGUUACUGCGAAGGGGGGACGGAGAAGGCUAUGUUAGCCGGGCGACGGUUGUCCCGGUUUAAGCAUGUAGGCUGGUUAUCCAGGCAAAUCCGGAUAAUCAAGGCUGAGGUGUGAUGACGAGGCACUACGGUGCUGAAGUAACAAAUGCCCUGCUUCCAGGAAAAGCCUCUAAGCAUCAGGUAACAUCAAAUCGUACCCCAAACCGACACAGGUGGUCAGGUAGAGAAUACCAAGGCGCUUGAGAGAACUCGGGUGAAGGAACUAGGCAAAAUGGUGCCGUAACUUCGGGAGAAGGCACGCUGGUGUGUAGGUGAAGCCCCUGCGGGUGGAGCUGAGACCAGUCGAAGAUACCAGCUGGCUGCAACUGUUUAUUAAAAACACAGCACUGUGCAAACACGAAAGUGGACGUAUACGGUGUGACGCCUGCCCGGUGCCGGAAGGUUAAUUGAUGGGGUUAUCCGUAAGGAGAAGCUCUUGAUCGAAGCCCCGGUAAACGGCGGCCGUAACUAUAACGGUCCUAAGGUAGCGAAAUUCCUUGUCGGGUAAGUUCCGACCUGCACGAAUGGCGUAAUGAUGGCCAGGCUGUCUCCACCCGAGACUCAGUGAAAUUGAACUCGCUGUGAAGAUGCAGUGUACCCGCGGCAAGACGGAAAGACCCCGUGAACCUUUACUAUAGCUUGACACUGAACAUUGAGCCUUGAUGUGUAGGAUAGGUGGGAGGCUUUGAAGCGUGGACGCCAGUCUGCGUGGAGCCAACCUUGAAAUACCACCCUUUAAUGUUUGAUGUUCUAACGUUGGCCCCUUACCGGGGUUGCGGACAGUGUCUGGUGGGUAGUUUGACUGGGGCGGUCUCCUCCCAAAGCGUAACGGAGGAGCACGAAGGUUAGCUAAUCCUGGUCGGACAUCAGGAGGUUAGUGCAAUGGCAUAAGCUAGCUUGACUGCGAGCGUGACGGCGCGAGCAGGUGCGAAAGCAGGUCAUAGUGAUCCGGUGGUUCUGAAUGGAAGGGCCAUCGCUCAACGGAUAAAAGGUACUCCGGGGAUAACAGGCUGAUACCGCCCAAGAGUUCAUAUCGACGGCGGUGUUUGGCACCUCGAUGUCGGCUCAUCACAUCCUGGGGGCUGAAGUAGGUCCCAAGGGUAUGGCUGUUCGCCAUUUAAAGUGGUACGCGAGCUGGGUUUAGAACGUCGUGAGACAGUUCGGUCCCUAUCUGCCGUGGGCGCUGGAGAAUUGAGGGGGGCUGCUCCUAGUACGAGAGGACCGGAGUGGACGCAUCACUGGUGUUCGGGUUGUCAUGCCAAUGGCACUGCCCGGUAGCUAAAUGCGGAAGAGAUAAGUGCUGAAAGCAUCUAAGCACGAAACUUGCCCCGAGAUGAGUUCUCCCUGAGACUUUAAGUCUCCUGAAGGAACGUUGAAGACGACGACGUUGAUAGGCCGGGUGUGUAAGCGCAGCGAUGCGUUGAGCUAACCGGUACUAAUGAACCGUGAGGCUUAACCUU
rnacentral:rRNA from 1 species